rnacentral:rRNA from 1 species
AGGUCAAGUGAAGAAGGGCGCACGGUGAAUGCCUUGGCACUGGAAGCCGAUGAAGGACGCGACUAACCGCGAAAGUCUUCGGGGAGCCGUAAGUAGGCUUUGAUCCGGAGGUCUCCGAAUGGGGGAACCCAGCAUGUGCAGACAUGCUAUCCUUAAGUGAAUACAUAGCUUAAGGAGGGAACACGCAGUGAACUGAAACAUCUAAGUAGCUGCAGGAAGAGAAAGAAAUAUCGAUUUCCCAAGUAGCGGCGAGCGAACAGGAAAGAGCCCAAACCGGCAGAUUUAUCUGCCGGGGUUGUAGGACUGAGACAUGGCACUUCAGAGGAUAGCAGAAGCGUUUGGGAAAGCGCGCCAGAGAGGGUGAGAGCCCCGUAAGCGAAAUCCAAAGAAGGCCUAUCAGUAUCCUGAGUAGGGCGGGACACGUGAAAUCCCGUUUGAAUCCGCGAGGACCAUCUCGCAAGGCUAAAUACUAACCAGUGACCGAUAGUGAACCAGUACCGUGAGGGAAAGGUGAAAAGAACCCCGGGAGGGGAGUGA